rnacentral:sRNA from 1 species
CGUGCAAUGCGAGGUGAGCGCGCAGCCC